GACGAACGCUGGCGGCGCGCUUAAUACAUGCAAGUCGAACGAGAAGCCAGAGCUUGCUCUGGUGGAAAGUGGCGAACGGGUGAGUAACACGUGAGAAACCUGCCCCAAAGAUUGGGAUAAGCCUUGGAAACGAGGUCUAAUACCAAAUACCUUCUUUUUAACACAUGUUAAAAAGAAGAAAUGCUCCGGCGCUUUGGGAUGGUCUCGCGAUCUAUCAGCUUGUUGGUGAGGUAACGGCUCACCAAGGCAUCGACGGAUAGCUGGUCUGAGAGGAUGUCCAGCCACAUUGGAACUGAGACACGGUCCAAACUCCUACGGGAGGCAGCAGUAGGGAAUCUUGCACAAUGAGGGAAACCUUGAUGCAGCGACGCCGCGUGCGGGACGAAGGCCCUAGGGUUGUAAACCGCUUUCAGUAGGGACGAAAGUGACGGUACCUACAGAAGAAGCCCCGGCCAACGUAUGUGCCAGCAGCCGCGGUAAU
rnacentral:rRNA from 1 species